ensembl:misc_RNA Metazoa_SRP Metazoan signal recognition particle RNA
GCUGGGCACGGUGGCAUGUGCCUGUGGUCCCAGCUAUUCUGGAAGCUGAUGCAGAAGGAUCACUUGAGCCAGGAGUUCUAUGCUGAUUGGGUGUCGGCACUAAGUCCAGCAACGAUAUGGUGAUAUCCCAGGAGCAGGGUACCACCAGGUUGCCUAAGGAGGGGUGAACCAGCCCAGGUUGGAAAUGGAGCAAGUCAAAAUUCCUGUGCUGAUCAAUAGGAGGAUUGUGCCUGUGAACAGCCACUGCACUCCACCUGGGCAACAUAGCAAGACCCCAUCUC